GGCCCAUUAGCUCAAUUGGUUAGAGCGUCGUGCAUUCGCACCAUAAACUACAGGUUCGAUACCUGUAUGGGCCA
rnacentral:tRNA from 1 species